AGAUAGCUGUGUGGCAUCGCUUCCAAGUUUCCGUCGUUGUGAUGGUAAAAAGGACUGUAGAGAUGGUAGAGAUGAGUAUUAUGAUGGCUGCCAUGAAGACGAAAAAACUGAAACUGCUGGAACGGUAUUUGGGAAUAUGAGCGUUGCCGUCGCUAUUAUGUUUUUAGGCGGCGUAGUAGUCAUACUACUCGGAUUAGUUUUUUGCAUAUGCUGCUGUUGUCGUAGAGGGCGUGAGCGUCGACGCUAUGACUCAAACACAUUUGCUUCGAAGAAGAUAGGAACUGUGAACGGAUACCGUUUCGUUGCCCAUGCAUACCCGCUAUCCAUGAACUACGCCGAAGUAGAUGGAAAUGCCUUAUAUGAUGUACAAGGGGGCGUUGUGCAACUUAACAACAAAGAGUAAAUACACUUGACGUUGCGUCUCCUUAGCAUAUUUCUGAAUCGAUCUUUGUGGAUAAAAAUUACACUUGCUUGACAUUUAUCUACUGGAUCACGUCUCCUGAAUAGGGAUCAUCUUUCUUCCGAGUCUGUCUAUACUGGUGUGGUAACCCUUCACCUAUAAUGCACCCAUGUCAGUUGCUAUCAGGAACAAGAUGGGUGCCACUUGGAUACAGUGGAUCUUGAAGAAAGCAAACUUGAGUCAUACAAAUAUUAUGGGUUUUAAAAACUGUCAUUUUAAUUUCAACUUACUGGAAGUGGGAAAACAAAUACAAACACUUCACAUUUAGCUUAUUUCACAGUAGUUGUUCAUAGUUAGUGUCGACUUUACAGGCAGUUUAGGUUUUUAUACAAGCCUGUAUAUAGACGUUGAACUCGAGAUGUUCUGCUCUGUUGGAAUACGCUUAUAUGUAUGUAUAUGUCAACUUAUAUGCCGGCGUAACCUUCCUAGUGUGAACCAUAGAACUCAUGUAAUUGCUACGUGAUGAUACAUGUUGUAGAUUAGUAUGUGUCUUGGUAUUCAAUCGUAAACUUGUUGUUUAAAUUGUCAUUUAUUAGAUUUUUAUUUAAACGUGCGCCUCUGGAAUCUGUUGAGAAAUCGCAGUGAAUUACUUACACAUACGAUGAUUGACUGUAUUUAAAUUUACAAUGCAAUGUAUUUGGUAAUGAUAAAAUAAUUACAUAAUAUUUAU